GACGAACGCUGGCGGCGUGCUUAACACAUGCAAGUCGAACGGAAAGGCCCCUUUGGGGGUACUCGAGUGGCGAACGGGUGAGUAACACGUGAGUAACCUGCCCUUGACUUCGGGAUAACUUCAGGAAACUGGGGCUAAUACCGGAUAGGAAUCCUUGCUGCAUGGUGGGGGUUGGAAAGCUUCGGCGGUUUUGGAUGGACCCGCGGCGUAUCAGCUUGUUGGUGGGGUAGUGGCUUACCAAGGCUUUGACGGGUAGCCGGCCUGAGAGGGCGACCGGCCACAUUGGGACUGAGAUACGGCCCAGACUCCUACGGGAGGCAGCAGUGGGGAAUAUUGCACAAUGGGCGGAAGCCUGAUGCAGCAACGCCGCGUGCGGGAUGACGGCCUUCGGGUUGUAAACCGCUUUCAGCAGGGGCGAAGCUUGUGGUGACGUUACCUGCAGAAGAAGCACCGGCUAACUACGUG
rnacentral:rRNA from 1 species